AGUGAACGCUGGCGGUAGGCCUAACACAUGCAAGUCGAACGGCAGCACAGUAAGAGCUUGCUCUUACGGGUGGCGAGUGGCGGACGGGUGAGGAAUACAUCGGAAUCUACUUUUUCGUGGGGGAUAACGUAGGGAAACUUACGCUAAUACCGCAUACGACCUACGGGUGAAAGCAGGGGAUCUUCGGACCUUGCGCGAUUGAAUAAGCCGAUGUCGGAUUAGCUAGUUGGCGGGGUAAAGGCCCACCAAGGCGACGAUCCGUAGCUGGUCUGAGAGGAUGAUCGGCCACACUGGAACUGAGACACGGUCCAGACUCCUACGGGAGGCAGCAGUGGGGAAUAUUGGACAAUGGGCGCAAGCCUGAUCCAGCCAUACCGCGUGGGUGAAGAAGGCCUUCGGGUUGUAAGCCCUUUUGUUGGGAAAGAAAAGCAGCAGGUUAAUACCCCGCUGUUCUGACGGUACCCAAAGAAUAAGCACCGGCUAACUUCGUG
rnacentral:rRNA from 1 species